UUAACCCUGCGGUGUUCGCGAAGGCAUACCAUUCCUUUGAACCAAUAACAUCGCUUCAGGCUGCAGAUUGUGUGGUGGGCGCGCGCGUUCCCCGUGAACGUACCCGAAACUGCCGAAAGUGGCCAACCUUGACUCAAGGUUCAAGCGAAUCCAGCCCAACGGCACUCGCGGGGUUUCC
rnacentral:other from 1 species